rnacentral:rRNA from 1 species
UCCUACGGGGCGCAGCAGUAGGGAAUAUUGCACAAUGGGGGAAACCCUGAUGCAGCGACGCCGCGUGAAGGAUGAAGUAUUUCGGUAUGUAAACUUCUAUCAGCAAGGAAGAAAAUGACGGUACUUGACUAAGAAGCCCCGGCUAAAUACGUGCCAGCAGCCGCGGUAAUACGUAUGGGGCAAGCGUUAUCCGGAUUUACUGGGUGUAAAGGGAGCGUAGGCGGUACGGCAAGUCAGAAGUGAAAGCCUGGGGCUCAACCCCGGAAUUGCUUUUGAAACUGUCGAACUAGAGUGUCGGAGGGGUA